CCUCCUUCCCCCAUCCCACCUCCACCACCCGGCGACCCCCGUAGACUUGAUUGGCAGGCCCUGCCCCGACCCCUACCCCUCCAGGUCCCCGCCUCGGUGCCUCGGUGCCCGGCUCCGGGCCACUCCUGCAGGCCCUGCCUAGGGCAGCCGGCGGUGCCUGGAGGCGGGCUCGCCCCGGCUGCUCCACGCCCAGGCCGGUCCCUGGCAUUUCAGCCAGUGGGAGGGCGUCCCCGCCGCCCCCGUGCCUCUCCGCAGGGGCUGCGCCGCGUCCCCGGGCCUCUCCCUCCGCCGUGGCCUGGUCUGCCUGCUCCAGGGCGCAGCUGCGCCCGCUUCAGCGCCUCCCGGGUCUGCGUGGCCUGCUCGGCUCAGAGGCCUCCACCACGGUCCGCUCCCUGCCGGACGCCGCGCUGCUGUGGCCGCGGUGGUUCUGUGGCUGUGAGGGCCGUUUCUGUCCGUCCACACCGCCUUCCCUCUGCAGAUUUCCUCUGCAGAGGCCCGGAGUUACCAGCAAGGUCUGACGCAGCAGAGUGCAGAAACGGCCUCCCUGUCUGUCAAAGUGGCCUCCCGAGGACACCCAGCGAGGCCACCAGAUCAUCACGUGGAGUAUCGGUGGCCUUAUUAAAACAAAAACAACAACUCCACAGCCCGGCGAGCGCAGCCCAAAGGGAUGAGAAGAUGGAUAUGGCCCGGAGAUAAUGCACACCUCUCGUGGGGACAGUGUCCCCAUCCCCCUCCGGCUGCACUGAAGACCUGGAGCAAUGGCUGCCAUCCAUGCGCGAGGACCCCUCGGAGGUUCCACCUGCACAGACCUUGCUAAGGGUGAGGUGAUUACUAGAAGGAGCACCUUUUCUAGUUAAAAUCUAACUAGAUUCUCCUUGGCAACUUGUCUUACAGAAACAGGUAUAGACUAUCACCUUGCCCAGCUGGGCGCAUCUUCGGAGGGAGGCCUGGGGCCACGUGCACCUAAUGAAGGUGCCUGGGAGGGGGCUGGCUUUCCACUCAGCAAAUGCUUUCUUACAGAAAGACUGUGGGGAGAGUCCGUUUUCUUAGAGCCGUAUGAAGAAAUCCUAAAAACCAACUGCCCAAUCUCAACUCGUAACAGGGAACCUGGGGAGUGACAUCAGAGAUUCCCAAUGUUUUCCUCCUCGUUGAUCCCUGCGAUGAAGGCACUUGCCCAUGUGUAUUCUGUAGUAGGAGUUUGCAUUCUGAAACUGGUCUUUAUUAAAGAACAAACACAUUAUUUACAAAUU
rnacentral:lncRNA from 1 species